rnacentral:rRNA from 1 species
CCUACGGGAGGCAGCAGUGGGGAAUAUUGGACAAUGGGGGGAACCCUGAUCCAGCCAUGCCGCGUGUGUGAAGAAGGCCCUCGGGUUGUAAAGCACUUUCAGUGAGGAAGAACGCCUGGUGGUUAAUACCCAUCAGGAAAGACAUCACUCACAGAAGAAGCACCGGCUAACUCCGUGUCAGCAGCCGCGGUAAUACGGAGGGUGCGAGCGUUAAUCGGAAUUACUGGGCGUAAAGCGCGCGUAGGUGGCUUGAUAAGCCGGUUGUGAAAGCCCCGGGCUCAACCUGGGAACGGCAUCCGGAACUGUCAAGCUAGAGUGCAGGAGAGGAAGGUAGAAUUCCCGGUGUAGCGGUGAAAUGCGUAGAGAUCGGGAGGAAUACCAGUGGCGAAGGCGGCCUUCUGGACUGACACUGACACUGAGGUGCGAAAGCGUGGGUAGCAAACAGGAUUAGAUACCCGAGUAGUC